rnacentral:rRNA from 1 species
GACGAACGCUGGCGGCGUGCUUAACACAUGCAAGUCGAACGGAAAGGCCCUGCUUUUGUGGGGUGCUCGAGUGGCGAACGGGUGAGUAACACGUGAGUAACCUGCCCUUGACUUUGGGAUAACUUCAGGAAACUGGGGCUAAUACCGGAUAGGAGCUCCUGCUGCAUGGUGGGGGUUGGAAAGUUUCGGCGGUUGGGGACGGACUCGCGGCUUAUCAGCUUGUUGGUGGGGUAGUGGCUUACCAAGGCUUUGACGGGUAGCCGGCCUGAGCGGGUGACCGGCAACAUUGGGACUGGGAUACGGCCCAGACUCCUACGGGAGGCAGCAGUGGGGAAUGUUGCACAAUGGGCGGAAGCCUGAUGCAGCAACGCCGCGUGCGGGAUGACGGCCUUCGGGUUGUAAACCGCUUUCGCCUGUGACGAAGCGUGAGUGACGGUAAUGGGUAAAGAAGCACCGGCUAACUACGUG